UAGGGAAUCUUCGGCAAUGGGGGCAACCCUGACCGAGCAACGCCGCGUGAGUGAAGAAGGUUUUCGGAUCGUAAAGCUCUGUUGUAAGAGAAGAACGUGUGUGAGAGUGGAAAGUUCACACAGUGACGGUAACUUACCAGAAAGGGACGGCUAACUACGUGCCAGCAGCUGCGGUAAUACGUAGGUCCCGAGCGUUGUCCGGAUUUAUUGGGCGGAAAGCGAGCGCAGGCGGUUUAAUAAGUCUGAAGUUAAAGGCAGGGGCUUAACCAUUGUUCGGUUUGGAAACAGUUAAACUUGAGUGCAGAAGGGGAGAGUGGAAUUCCAUGUGUGGCGGGGAAAUGCGUAGGUAUAUGGGAGAACACCGGUGGCGAAAGCGGCUCUCUGGUCUGUAACUGACGCUGAGGCUCGAAAGCGUGGGGAGCAAACAGG
rnacentral:rRNA from 1 species